AAGAUUAUGUUUUCAGGGAUCAUUUCUAUAGUUCAUUAUGAGAGAAGUUUCUCUGAAUGUGUAGAGCACUUGAAACUGAGGAAGAAGCUUAGUGUUCUCUCCUGAGUGUGAAGCUGGUUCUUGGUGUUGGUUCUGCAACUGCCAUUGGCCACUGAUGAUCAGUCUUCUCUUCCUUUGGGAGAGUAAGAAGAAGAGGACACUGUCUGAGU
rnacentral:snoRNA from 1 species